AUGCCGAUCAACAUCACGGUCCUGGCCAGGGAUCGAUUGAUUUUGACUCAAGGUAUCAGUGGUGAUGAAAUCCGGUUGGAUCAGUCACCUGCUGAGAUAAAGAGACCUGGAGAAACAGUGAAGAUCUCCUGUAAAAUAUCUGGUUUUACAAUGACAGACUACUUCAUGCACUGGAUACGACUGAAACCAGGGAAAGCUCUGGAGUGGAUUGGGAGAGUUAACUCUGGCAGCAGUUCUAGCUCUGAUUAUCUAAUUUAUGCAAACUCCAUGAAAAAUCACUUCACGCUGAGUGAGGAUGUGUCUCAAAGUACACAGUAUCUUGAAGCCAAGAGGACACUGCUGUUUAUUACUGUGCUCGACAGACACACUGACUCCAUCUGA